AUUAUUAUACUGCGGUUUACAAAUGUAUCAUAGUAAAACGCAGUAUAGUAUUGCGAAUUACAAAAAAAAUAAUUUUUUAAGUAAAACGCAGUACUAUACUACUAAUUACUUUAACGGCAAAAUUUCCGUUAAAGUAAUUCGCAGUAUAAUACUGCAUUUUACUCAUUUAUGUAACUUUUUUUAAAAGUAGUACAAAAGUGUUUUUUGUCCAAAAAUAAUUAAAAAGGUUUCGGACCAACCUUCAUUGAACUUUCCUAGGUGGUUAUCAGAUUAUUCAUUGAACCUAAAUGCCCUAAAUAUCCCUUGCACCACUAGUACUUACUUCUCCGAAAUUAACCUUCCUUUUUUGGACAAACAAAUUGCGCUGCAAGCCCACCAAACUUGCAACCAACCUCUGAAGCCUUGGGCCAUGGUUUCGAUUAUAGAAAGAAAAAGAAAGAAAGAAAAAUAGAAGAAGGAGAAGAAAUAACAAAACAAGAAAGGGAUAUAAACAAAACAAAAAUAAAAAGAAAUAAAAAAAGAACAUUGGAAAUACACUGCCUAGAAAAAUAUAAAAAAAAUGAAAAAAAAUAAAGAUAAAAACAUGAAAAUUACAUUAAACAAAACAAUGAUGCUAAUCACCAAGAAUACUAACAAAAGAAUAAUUGUAACACCUAAAUCCGGCCUUGCAUGGAUAAACCUAAUGAUUUCUUUGUUGAAGAACAAAUACUCAACCCACACUUGAUGAACAAAAUUUCGGCCAACCAUGGAAAUUGUGGCACAAACACUGUCCGAAAAUUUCUAAGGGCAAAUGCUUUGGGUCACAAUUUCCAUUAUUUGCCAAAGAAAAAGAAAUGGAGGCGAGUAUCGGCGCUCUAGCGGCUGCAAAUGAUCCACAAAUGGGUCUGCCGACAUCUUAUUUUCUUUUAUGGUAAGAACAAAGACCAUUUCAGGAAAAUCUGAACAAAGAAGAAGAAAAAUUGGACCUUUAAUCCUUAGAUCUAAAAUUCGAAGAGCGUGAGUGAUUUUUGGAGAAGAUAAGGGUGGAUUUGAAAUGGGGGAUGAUGGAGGUUAUGUGGUUAAAAUCUGAGGGCUUUUGGAAUUGGGUCGCCGUCAUGGGUAAUCUCCGGUGGGCGGCGGCUUGUCAAAGAGAAGGGGUGAAGAAUAUGAAGUCUUGGUUUGAGGGGGUUAGGACAGUUUUAAGGGAUAACGGGUUAGUUCCGAUCCGUUGGAUUGAAUUGGAUGAAUGGUGGGGAUUUGUUCUGACCAAAAGGGGUCGUUUUGGUCAUUUAGUAGAGUUUAAACCAGAUUUGGGUUGGCUGGGGCGGGUGUGUUUGGAUUGGAUUGGGCCUUUGAGACAAAAAUUUGCCCAAAUUCGGAAUUUAAAUAAGGUUUCCAUUUCUCUAUUUAUUUACCACCUUUUUUCUUUUUCUUUUCCUUUAAUUAAAAAAAUCCUAAAUUAAUCUAAAUUGUAAAAUUAAACUAAUUAUCCAACUACAAAAGUUAUAAAAAUUACCCAAUCCUACAUUAAAAGAAAAAAAUCACUAAUCUAAAAAUUAAAAGGUAAAAUUGUAGAAUGAGCCGUUUUUGUGAUUUUAAUUUUUUAAUAAAAAACUAAAUGAACUAAUUAAUCCUGAAAAUGUAAAAACAAAAUCUAAAUGCAAUGCAUGAUAUUUUUUUGAUAUUUUUCAUGAUUUUAAUAAAAAUUAAACGUGCACAACAAUGCAAACAAUUAACACAAAAUCAUACAAAAUUGCAAAUAAUUGGGAAAAUUUAUUUCUUUAAUUUGUAUGAGUAUUUCACAUAGGGCAAAAAUAAGAUGUACUCACAACUGCCCCUCUUUGCUCGGAAACACUAAGAGUUUUCAGGCAAAGAUAAAGUGCACGGAUACGAGCAAUUUUUGCCCGUUUGAAUACUCCGUAUGAACCAUUUUUGAAAGAUCCAACCGCACCUUGCUUCAGAGUUUGCCUACAUAUCCUUGGCUAUAAAGGAAUCAGGUCAGUGUAGUUCGGGAAGUUUCGGUAGCUGGGACUACCGGAAAGCGGUGAUUUCACUAUUGCUGUUGCUGCUACUGCUUGUUGAACUCCCUAUUACACCGAGAAAAAGUAAAAAGAAGCUAGGCUAAAUUAUGAUCUAUGAAUUAAAAGAAUCCUAUCUACCAUCUUCAAAUUUGGUCUUGCUGCUUCUACCAUUCUGUUGUGCAUUUUGAACGGUUAACCUGUACUCUCCAGGGGAAUUUCUGUUGUUGCUAACGCGAAUUGAAUUCUAAAAUGGGUUCACUUGUUUUCCAGGCGGGUGCCUGAUUGCCGAAACCUAAAUUGCAUUCCAUUGUUCUCCAAGUGGGCGCUCGAUUGCCAAAACUCGAAUUGUAUUCCCUUGUUCUCCAGGUGGGUGCCUGAUUACCAAAACCUGAAUUGCAUUCCCUUGUUCUCCAGGUGGGCGUUUGAUUACCAAAACUUGAAUUGUAUUCCCUUGUUCUCCAGGCGGGCGCCUGAUUACCAAAACUUGAAUUGUAUUCCUUUGUUCUCCAGGUGGGCGCCUGAUUGCCGAAAACUUGAAUGGUAUUAUCUUGUUCUCCAGGUGGGUACCUGAUUGCCGAAAACUUAAACUGUAUUCCCUUAUUCUCCAAGUGGACGCCUGAUUGCCGAAAACUUAAACUGUAUUCCCUUGUUCUCCAGGUGGGUGCUUGAUUGCCGAAAUCUUGAAUUGCAUUCCCUUAUUCUCCAGGUGGGCGCUAGAUUGCCAAAAUCUUGAACUGCAUUCCCUUGUUCUCCAGGUGGGUGCCUGAUUAUCAAAACUUGAAUUGUAUUCUCUUGUUCUCCAGGUGGGCGCCUGAAUACCAAAACUUGAAUUGUAUUCCCUUGUUCUCCAGGUGGGCGCCUGAUUGCCAAAAUCUUGAACUGCAUUCCCUUGUUCUCCAGGUGGUCGCCUGAUUGCCGAAACAUAAACUGUAUUCCCUUGUUCUCUAGGUGGGUGCCUGAUUGACAAAAUCUUGAACUGCAUUCCCUUAUUCUCCAGGUGGGUGCCUGAUUAACAAAACUUGAAUUGUAUUCCCUUAUUCUCCAGGUGGGCACCUGAUUACAAUAAAAUAGAUAAAACAAAGAAACUUUUCUGGCCCAGUUUAGUACCUGGACACAUAUAUGAGUGUUAAUCGAAUCAUGUUAUCCAAAAUCUCUAAGAAUUUAAAAGCUAGAUCCCAUUAUCUAGGAAGGUCCUUAAAAUUUCAAAUUGAAUCUCAUCUUAAGAGUGAAAGCUUUAAAGCCAACUUAUAUUUCCUAAAGUUAGAGCUUAUGCUAAAUCUUGUUAUCUAUGAAGGUCUUGAAAUUCAACUCAAUCUCAUUAUCUAAGAGGGUCCUAAGAAAAUUUUAAACUAAAUCCCAUUAUCCAUGAGGGCCCUAAAAAUUUUAAACUAAAUCCCAUUAUCCUGGAGGGUCCUGAAGAUUUACGGUGGAACCUGUCCGGUACAUGCUUUCCUCACGGAGAGGUCCUCCAGAACAAACGAAAUUUUCUGCCCCUGUUUUAAUCAAAGAAAAUUUAUCAGAUUUAAAAAUGCGGUGGUUAGUUUGCGGCAUUCUUGCUGAAGGUGGCCUUUUCACUGUCGUGCUUUGUUCUGACUGGCUGCCUUGAACUGGCCCAGAAUUGUUUGACUUUCUGACUGAAUCUCACCCACAUGACCCUGAAUGACCCGAGUGACCUGCACUUAACCUGCUGUUUUUCAUUUCUAUCCUUCCAAUUUGAACCUCUGUAUCUUCCACACAAUUCGCAAACCCCUUGACCACUUGAACUUUACUAACACCUUAUUUUCCAUUUUGCAUCAUGCUAUUUCUAGUAUGUUUUGGCCGCACUUUGCUUUGUGCAAUUUGGAAGUUUGUAUUAAGCUUUGAAAUCAUUUCCUACUUGCUUGAACAAAGCUGACAUUGGAAAAGCCUUAGAGGAAUAAACCCAAAAGAAAUGAAAUACAAUGACUUUGCGAGUUAGGAAUAAAGAAGAAAAUUCGAGGCAGGAAGACUGUUUGAGGAAGAAAAAGAAAAGAGACUUAUCUGAGUGAGGAAGCUGACACCAAUGAUCAUGACAUGUAUUUUAGAUUAAUCAGCCUAGCCUGUUCCACCAAUCACCUUUCAGUUUUCAUACUUUAUGCCUUGGGAUUUCCAUAAUCCAAUCUCUUUGUGAAGUCACCAACCUUUUUCGGCUUGCGACGCCCUGAAAGGUUUUCACCAACAAACCUCUCUCAUUUGUUCAUCUCUCAACUCACUGUCGCCUUACGGUAUCCGUGAAGGUUUUCACUAAUAAGACUCUCUCAUUUUGAUUUCUCUCAUCUUUCCAUCGACCUAUGGUGCCCGUGAGGGUUUUCACUAAUAGGACUCUCUCAUUUUGAUUUCUCUCAUCUUUUCAUCGACCUACAGUGCCCGUGAGGGUUUUCACCAAUAUAACUCUCUCAAUUAUUCAUUUUCCUUGUGUAGAACGAAGUGUUGCCCCUGAUGACUCGUACCUCUAUCUCGCCUGACUUGGCAUUUCUCAAAGAUUGAUCGGAAGGUCUUUCUUUGGACCGUAACGUGGGCUUUUGGAUAGUGAUGGAAAGGAUAUUAUAAAGGCUCAAAAACAACUGAAGCGGGUUCAAAAUUACAACUUUUGGAAUCCGAUCUCCUACGAAACUGCAACUUCUGCCCCAAUUUCUUUGCCUGGGGACUUUUGAAUUUUAUUUUGAUGGGACCGAACCGUGAAGCUGCCUAUGUAUCCUUUAAAGGAAUCAGGUCGAACGUAGUUCAUGACAUAGGAAUUGCUUUGUGUUUAUUACUUUUCUCUUUUUCUUUUCCUUUCUCUCUUUUCUUUUCACUUUUUUUUCUUUUCUUCCCCCUUUUUUACUCUUUUCCAUUUUUUUCUUUCUAUUUUUCUCUUCUUUUUUUCUUUUUUCUCUUUUUUUAUAUUUUCUAUAUUUGUACUUCUAAACUUUGCUUCUAAUUCCAAAAAAAGGGUAUGAAAGAAAAUAAAUAAGGAUCAAAGGGGUAACAAAGGAUAAAGUGUUUAGAUAGCAGAAUAAAAUGCCUUCGUCAUUCCAUUCUUCAAAACAUGCCAAGUACAAACGACAAUUAGACAAACCAAAGAAAUCAUACAUAAUAUAUUUUGAUCGCAUCAGAAUUGAUAGCCUUAUCUACACAUUUGCCUUAUAUAUCUGUUAAAUACAAAGCACCAUUUGACAACACUCUCGUUACGAUGUACAACCCCUUCCAAUUUGGGGAAAACUUGCCUUUAGCUUCAGCCUGAUAUGGAAGGAUGUGUUUCAGCACCUGCUGACCUAAUUCAAAUUUUCGGGGACGCACCUUCUUGUUGUAUACUCUUGCCACUCUCUUUUGAUACAACUGUCCAUGAUACACUGCUGCCAGUCCUUUCUCGUCAAUCAAACUUAAUUGCUCCAAACGGAUUUUGACCCACUCAUCAUCAUCAAUUUCGGCUUCAGCAACAAUACGAAGGAAUGGAAUUUCAACUUCCGCGGGUAUUAUCGCUUCAGUACAAUAUACCAACAAAUAAGGAGUUGCACCUACUGAAGUGCAAACAGUAGUGCGAUAACCCAGCAAAGCAAAGGGAAACUUUUCAUGCCAUUGCCUUGAACCUUGCACCAUUUUCCGAUGUAUCUUCUUUAUGUUCUUGUUGGCUGCCUCGACUGCUCUAUUUGCCUUGGGGCAAUACGAGGUGGAAUUUCGAUGCGUAAUCUUAAACUAUUGACAUACUUCUUUCAUCAAAUGAUUUUUAAGAUUAGCACCAUUAUUUUUUAUGAUCACCUUUGGGAUUCUGAACCAACAAAUGAUAUUUGAAUGAACAAAAUCGACUACUGCUUUCUUGGUCACAGAUUUGAAAGUCUUAGCUUCAACCCACUUAGUGAAAUAAUCGAUGGCCACUAGAAUGAACCUGUGGACAUUUGAUGCUGCUGGCUCAAUUAGUCCAAUGACAUCCAUGUCCCAGGUGACAAAAGGCCAUGGUGCUGACAUUGUAUCCAACUCAGAUAGUGGAGAAUGGAUCAAGUCUCCGUGUACCUGGCAUUGAUUACUCUUGCGCACAAAGCUGAUGCAAUCACGUUCCAUGAUGAGCCAAUAAUACCUUGCUUGGAGAAUUUUCUUUGACAGAACAUACCCACUCAUAUGUGGCUUGCAAAAUUCGGAAUGCACUUCUGUCAUAAUAGUCGUGGCUUGCUUAGUAUUUAUGCACUGUAGCAACCCAAGAUCUGGAGUUCUUUUAUACAAGAUUUCCCCGCUCAAGAAAAAUCCACUAGCCAGACGUCGAAUUGUUCUCUUUUGAUCACCUGUGGCUUGUACCUGAUAUACCCCCAUCCUGAUGUAUUCCAUGAUGUCAUGGAACCACGGUUCACCAUCAAGUUCUUCCUCAACAAUAUUACAAUAGGCAUGCUGAUCACCAACUUAGAUAUGUAGAGGGUCAAUAUAAGCUUUGUCUGGAUAGUGCAACAUUGAUGCCAAGGUAGCCAAAGCAUCGGAAACCUCAUUAUGGAUCCUUGGAAUAUACCUAAAUUCUAUUAAUCAAAUUUGUUGACAAAGAUCAUGCAAACAUUGCAAAUAUGGUAUGAGCUUUAAAUCCCGAGUCUCCCAUUCUCCUUGAAUCUAGUGUACCAAAAGGUCCGAGUCUCCCAAGAUCAAGACUUCCUGGACUCCUAUAUCUACAGCAAAUCUCAAUCCCAAAAUACAUGCCUCUUACUCAGCCAUGUUAUUGGUACAAUAUAAACAAAGAUAGGUCGUAACGGGGUAGUGAUGCCCUAUUUCAGAAAUGAGGACGUCCCUUAUUCCGACACCUUUCAUGUUAGCAGCUCCAUCAAAGAAACGUUUCCAACCUAGUUUUUCAACCUGCUCCACCUCGUCCAUAUGCAUCACCUCUUCAUUGGGAAAAUAAGUUCUCAACGGUUCAUACUCUUCAUCCACCGGGUUCUCGGCCAAUGCUUGGGCUUUCAUCGCGGUCCGAGUCACAUAAAUGAUGUCAAACUCUAUUAGCAAUAUCUGCCACUUUGCAAAUCUUCCUGUGGGCAUAGAUGAAAGAUAUACUUUAGAGGAUCCAGGCGAGAAAUGAGGUAAGUAGUGUAUGACGACAAAUAAUGCUUCAACUUUUGUGCCACCCAAGUCAGGGCACAACAUGUCCUUUCAAGGGGAGUAUACUUAACCUCAUAGGAUGUGAACUUCUUUCUGAGAUAAUAGAUGGCUUGCUCCUUCUUGCCAGUGAUGUCAUGUUUACUCAACACACAAUCGAAUGAAUUGUCCAAGACCGUCAAAUAAAGAAUCAAAGGUCUCCCAGGUUCUGGCGGGACCAAUACAAGUGGGUUUGACAAAUAACCCUUGAUCUUAUCAAAUGCCUCCUGGCACUCAUCAGUCCAUUUGACCGCAACAUCCUUUUUCAGCAACUUGAAGAUGGGCUCACAGGUUGUCGUCAGUUGAGCAAUAAACCUGCUGAUGUAGUUUAAAUGCCCGAGCAAACUCAUCACCUCAGUCUUGUUCCUUGGAGGUGGCAAUUCUUGGCUAGCUUUUAUCUUUGAUGGGUCUAACUCAAUGCCUCGACGGCUAACUAUAAAUCCCAAUAGUUUUCCAGAUGGAACACCAAAUGCACACUUGACAGGGUUAAGCUUAAGAUUGUACCUGCGGAGCCAUUGGAAAAACUUCAUCAAAUCUCCGACAUGGUCGGCCUGUUAUUUUGACUUUACGAUCACAUCAUCCACAUAAACCUCAACCUCCUUGUGUAUCAUGUCAUGGAACAUAGUAGUCAUUGCCCUCAUGUAAGUUGCCCCACUGUUUUUCAAACCAAAUGGCAUUACCCGGUAGCAAUAAGUCCCUCAUGGUAUGAUGAAUGUUGUCUUUUCUGCAUCCUCCUUGUCCAUCAAGAUAUGGUAGUAUCGCGCAUAGCAAUCCACAAAAGAACCAAUCUCAUGCUUGGUACAAUUUUCAAUCAAAAUGUGAAUAUUUGGCAAUGGAAAAUUAUCCUUUGGACUUGCUUUGUUGAGAUCGCGGUAAUCAACGCACACCCUGGUCUUGUCGUCCUUCUUUGGCACUGGCACAACAUUAGCUAACCAAGUGGGGUAUCACGUAACUUGAAUAACCUUUGCGUCCAACUACUUUGUGAUUUCUUCCCUUAUCUUUACACUCAUAUCAGUUUUGAACUUCCUUAACUUCUGCUUGAAGGGAGGGAAUGUCGGGUCGGUGGGCAAUUUAUGAAACACCAAGUCAGUACCUAGACCUGGCAUGUCGUCAUAUGACCAUGCAAAAAUGUCUUUAUAUUCAAACAAUGCUUUGAUUAUUUCCUCCCUGAUUUGUGGUUUCAAAUGUACACUUAUCUUGGUUUCCCUGAUAUUAUUUGGAUCUCCUAAAUUGAUUGCUUCAUUUUCAUUCAAAUUAGGCUUGGGUUUCUCUUCAAAGUGACUUAGCUCUUUAGUAAUUUCCUCAAAUGCUUCAUCUUCAUCAUAUUCUAUUUCAUCAUCAUACUCUAUUUCUUGGAUUAUUAUUUCAGAGUUAGAUUGGCUUUUAAGACUUGGCCGAAGAUUCCUCAUGCAUAUCAUGUCAUUGAAACCAGCAUAAAAAGAACUAUACAAAGAAAGAAGAAACAAAAAGAUGACACUAUUAGGAGUAAUGGAAAAAGGAAAAUUGCAUUUCAUUAAAAAUAAAGGAUAAAAGGGUUUGUACAUCAAAACAGAUGGAAAAUAAAAUCUAAAUUACAACCCUGGAAUAAUCCAGAUAAACUGAAAGGAAAACAAGCAAACUACCAAAACUCAUUCCGGGUAGGGAGAGGAGUAGCAUCCCAAUUGUUAAGCUUCACUUACGGCCCAAUAAACUGCACACCUACUUUGUUGGACCCUUCCCCAAUUUAUACCAUGUUCACCUCAUCAAACAGACUUUGGAACCUUUUGACCAAUUCCUCAUCAAAAUCAACCACAGGCUUUGGAACUGUUGUCACUGGAUACUUCAUGACCCCUGCCUUGAUAAAAGACCUGGAGAGACGUGGGACUGGUUUAGGGAGUGACCAUGCCUUCUUUUUCAGCUUUCUAGCCUUCUUCACAUCAUUCCCUAUAGGCUUGAAACCCAUACCAAAUGUACCCAGAUUUUUACCCAAAUACACUAGCUGUACGAUACCUUAUGGAGAUGCACCUAGACCCUUGCCCAGCAUAAAAGCAUUUUUCAACAUUUCAGUCACUACCAUGACGGUUGCAGAAGCUAGCUUUGGACCUGGAAUGUAUUCUCCUUCUGGAACCUUUUCGACCGACACUGUUUUAGAAACAUGAUAUACCCACGGCCCCUUAUCUUCUUCAACAUCAAUAAAUGGGAUGAAUGUAUUAUUGAAAGCACAUAAAUUCUCAUCACCAUGCACGACGAUUUCUUGUCUAUCCCACUCGAACUUCACUAUCUGGUGUAGAGAAGAUGGAACUGCCUUGACAUUAUGUAUCCAAGGCCUUCCCAACAACAAAUUGUAAGAAACAGCCACAUCCAGUACCUAGAACUCCAUGGUAAAUUCAACUGGUCCUAUUGUUAACUCGAGCAUGAUGUCACCAAUAGAGUCUUUUCCCCCUCCGUUAAAACCUCGGACAUAUAUAUUGUUCUUGUGAAUCCUCUCAUCAUCUACUUUUAACUUGUUCAGAGUAGAUAGAGGGCAGAUGUUUGCACUGGAACCAUUGUCAACUAACACCAUUGUGACCACAGAAUCUUCGCAUUUUAUUGUGAGAUAGAGGGCCCGAUUGUGUUCCGUACCCUCCAGAGGCAAAUCAUCAUCCGAGAAUGUGAUCCUGUUAGACUCAAAUAUCUUAUUGGCAAUCUUCUCCAAAUGGUUCACUGUGAUUUUGUGGGGGACAUGAGCUUCGUUCAGAAUCAUCAUCAGAGCCUGGCGGUGCGCAUCUGAAUGGAUCAACAAAGAUAGCAAGGAAAUCUGAGCAGGAGUCAUUCUCAAUUGUUCUACGAUGGAGUAAUCUUGUACCUUUAUUUUUCUCAAAAACUCCUCCGCCUUUUCUUUAGUGAUCGGUUUUUCACUAGAACUGGAUUGUCUCUUAGCGUUUUAGCUUUCCUUAACUCUUUCGGGGCAAAGCAUCUCCUUGAACGAGUUAAACCCUGGGCCUCGUUGACUUCUUCUUUCACUUCCUUCCCCUUAUAGGUCACUAUCACUCACUCAUAGUUCCAUGGGACAAUCUUGGUAUUAGCUACCGACAGUUGGGUCACAGGUUUGAUAAUGAUAGGGUCCGUGUGAGCAACCUCCACAAUUAUGAUUGGCUUACUUGCUACCCCCGGCACGUUCACCUUUGGCUUUUCUUGAUUUGUUACAACAUCACUUGAGCACCUCUUUUCAACUAACACAACUAGAUUAUCAUUUGGCAUGCUUAACUUGUUUGUUGAUCCUUCAACUAUUGAAGAGGUUGCUUUUUGUGACAACCGCGCCCUUAACCGACUUACCUUUACUAGACCGGAUCAUCAUGAUAGAUUGUGAAGUCUUCUUGGGCUUCCCAUAUUUGUGCACUAUCUCAAUCAUGUGCAUUUCAGGAUGGGCUGGCAAUAGGUUCUGAUUGAUGUUGGGUGCUUAUGGGCUCUGGACCACAAUCUAGUUCGUAUCAAUAAGCUCUUGGAUGGAUUUCUUCAAAUGCCAACACUUUUCUGUGUCGUGCCCUAGAGUAUCAGAAUAGUACACACAUUUGAGAGAAUAAUCCAAGUUCUUUGGAGGGGGGUUUGGUAGUUUUGACUCAAUUAGCCUUAGAACAUCCAACUUCCUCAACCUUUGAAAUAGGCUGGUAUAAGAUUCCCCAAGCAGGGUGAAAGUUUUCAUUCGCUGGAACCUUUUAUUCCUGAACUCUGGCUUGGUCCGAAAGUUUGGACCAGCAGGGUUUCGGUAUGUUUGUGGAGGUGGGUAAGGGUUUUGUGGAUCUGUUGCACGCCAUUACAGGUGAGGAGAGGGUUGAGCAUAAAACUGUGUGUGAUGAACAUGAUAUUGGGGUGGCCUGACUGAAUACUGAGGCUCUGGUGGUGGGAAGUAGUGUUGGGAUGGAUUAUAUGGAGUUGGGGUAUAGGUUUGAAGUUGGGGUCGAGGUUGGAUGUAGUAGGUAGGAGAAUCCCCCGGGCUAUGCCACGAUCCUGAAACGACCGUAGCGACAUCCUCUUUCUUAUUUUUCCCAAGCACUCUUAUGGUGCAAUUCUGGAUUGCCUGCGUCGUUGCUUUGAUGGCAGAGUAGCUCAUGAUCUUGCUUGAUUUGAACCCUUCCUUUACCAUUCCUCCUAUUUUUACUACUUCAUUGAAAGACUUACCUAUGGCCGAAAUCAGAUGACCAAAGUAAGUAGGCUCCAAGGCCUGAAGAAAGUAUUCCACCAUUUUGUUCUCCUCCAUUGGAGGGUUAACCCUUGCUGCUUGUUCUCCCCAUCGGAAACCAUAUUCCCUGAAACAUUCACUAGGCUUUUUAUCUAUCUUAGUCAAAUACAAACGAUUUUGAACAAUCUCUAUGUUGUAUUGGAAAUGACGAGCGAAUGCUUGGGCUAAAUCAUCCCAGGUAUACCAUCUGCUGUGAUCCUGAUGAGUGUACCACUCCAAUGCCGCGCCACUAAGACUCUGGCUAAAUUAUGCCAUUAACAGCUUAUCUUUUCCGUCGGCUCCUCUCAUUUUACUGCAGAAUCCCCUUAAGUGGAUCGCGGGAUCUCCGUGUCCGUCAUACAGGUCAAAUUUGGGCAUUUUGAACCCAACAUGUAGGUGUACAUCAGGGAACAAACACAGAUCUUUGUAGGCUACACUCACUUGACCUCCCAACCCUUGCAUGUUUCUGAGCGACUGCUCCAAGCUUCUUACCUUUCUAAAUAUCUCCUCCUAUUCCGGGUUCUUAGGUGAUUUCUCAGCCUCAACAGGAAGGCCGAAACAAGGAGUGUAGGUGUAAUUAUUUGGGGCCUUGAAAGUAGGCUCUAGGGGAUAGUACUAAUUAUCUUGGGUUUGGAAUAAUGGCUCACUAGAAGAUCGAUGGAGCGUAGCUAGUAGAGGUGCUACGAAAAUAGGGGUAGUUGGUGGAGGGGGGUAUAGGGUUGUUUUGGUUGGUGGAGCCUAUAUGGUUUGGAAAGUGGUGCCAUGAUAGUGGUGGUAACGGGUGAAGCUUUGUGCAUGUUGUGGGGAUGAAUUAGCAGUGGGAGGUUAUUGGGAUUGAGCUAGCAGUGGGAUGAAAGCAGGGUUGGCGGGGUAUGAUGGUGGGGGAUACCCUUUCAUCCAUGCCUGGUACAUCUUGGCUAUUUGGUGCUUUAACUUGUGUAACUCCUCCUUCAGACCAACCUCAGUCUCAUCCACCUCUCUCGGUGAAUCAAUAAUACUUGCGUCCAGUUCUUGGCCAACCAUGAUCAAUUUAUUUUUAGACCUGGUGUUGUAUGUGUGGGUUGCCAGAAUGCCAAACAAACUAACCACCUUCCUGUUCUCAAUAACAACAACAACUUGUUAGUGUUUAAGACGUAACAGAUAGGCAACAACACAUUUGGGAUACAAUGCACCUAAACAGUUACAACUUCUAUCGUGUAUUUGAACGGCUGCAUGUUUCAUCCCAGCUCUUAACUAACUUUUCUCAUUUUUGCACUUUCUCUUCUCUAUUUUUCUUUUCUUUUCACUCCAACUCCUCUUUGGUCACUAUUGGCCUUUUCCACUUGUUUUGUUGCUUCCCUUUUAUUUUGCACUCGUUUUUCUCUUUUGUUUUGCCAAUAUUUCAUUCCACUUAAUAUUCUUUUAUUUUCUCCCCUCUUUUUCCUUUUCAUUUUAUGGUUACGAUCGAAUCCUAUGGGGAUUGCCUACGUAUCAUAACGCCGCAUGAAUCAGAUCAUUACGUAGUCAGGAGAUAAGUGUGAAAUAAAAGGACACUUUAUGGGUUUUCAAAUUUUUCAUAAUAAAAUAAAGAUCAUCUUGAUUACAACGAAUUCCCCUGCAGACUUAAACAUAAAAGCUAACAGACUAAAAAGAAACCACAAUACAGAUUCGAAAGUGGACUAACAAACUCCAAAGGAAACUGAAAAUACAGACUCGAAAGUGGACUAACAAACUCCAAAAGAAACUGAAAAUACAGACUCGAAAAAUAAAAUCAGAAAUACAUGAGUGCCUCAACUGCUGCUCCAGGGGCCCGCGGAACAUUAGUCGGUCUCGCCGCGGGCUUAUGCGCCAUAUCUUCUUGGAGGCGAAAUAGGUCAUUCAUGAUCUGCCGGACAAAAAUUAUAACUGAAGCGAAGAACAUGGACCUGGUCAUGUCCUCGCAUUCAUUGCACUUCAUCACAAUGUAGUCCACAAUCCUCCUAACCCUCUCCCUGAUAAUACCCUUCUCUUGUAGCAACCGUCCGAUCUACUAUGAUUUGGCCCCCAAAACUUGUUCGGCUGUAUGAUUUUGCUCUUGAAACUGCUGCAAGUCUUUUUCUAGAUGCGACAUCAGGGCAUACCAGUGUUCUCUUUCUGCUUUGAAGUCUCUUGCCUUCUUAGUCAUUUCGUUCUCAAGGACAUUGACCCUUUCCUUCAAACCCAUGAUUCAUUGUCAUAUUUUCCUUUUAAUUGUUGAACAAAGCGUGUUUGUUCCUCUGCAUUCUUAGCCAAUUUUGUUCGAGCCUUUACCAGUUCGCCCUUGAUCUUUUUCAGAUCAAAACCAUAUUCACCCACUUUCCGCCUAAGGUUAUCUAUAAGUUUUUCAUCUUUUGCACUUCUGACGGAGUUCUCGGCUGCUAUUUUCAUUUCCUGAAUUUGGGCUCGGAGGGCGUAGUUUUCUUUGGCUAACCUUUUCUUUUCACCCUCAUCCGUCGCGGCUUGCAAACCAUUCUAAAAUUGAAGAUCCCUGACUUGCUUUUCCAACUUGCCUAUUGUGGCCCUGUACUCAUUAUCCUUGGUCAACCAGGCCCACUGUUCCUGCAACGCUUCAACAAAUUCUUGGAUGUGGGCCUUUUGGUUGGUCUUUCAGGUUCAACCCUUGCAGUGUUCUUCUUUCUGUACCAAGAAAGAUAGGCAGGUGAGACCUCGACUUUAGACAAGUCACGCCCUCGGGUGUUUGCUGUCAAAUACUGGCAAUCGUUCCAAAUAUGACGAACUGUUUCUUCAUGAAAUCGGCUGUCAGAGCUGAUUUCGAUCGCAUAAACACUAAGAUCUUCAUCCGGGUGCACCAGGUACUUAUGCCUUAGACCUUUAGUACUUCCCACAUAACCCGAUAUCUCUUCCAAGGUGGGUGUGAGUUCAAAAUCUGAGAAAUGUAGGACGUUGUGAGCUGGGUCCCAAAAUAUUACCAGUGCCCUUAUUAUGUCUCCUCUAGGCCUAAUCUUCAACAAUCCGGUGAGCCCUCCCAAAUAAAGGUUGACCACAUAUCGUCCUUCUUUACCCAAAUCUUCCCACCACAUGUGUAGAUCCAACGAAAUCUUGGACAUGACCUUCAUUGGUAAAUUUUGACUCGUAAUCAUUCUGUACAUUUAGAUUAAGGCGAUUGGUUUAAAGACAAAGUGAAUCUUAUUUGAAAAUUGACAAAAGGCUUAUUUUUGCAAAAAAAUAAAACAAAUCAGGGCUACUUUUGCGAAUACGGCCUUUCAUUACUUCAGAAUUGAAGUUCUUAGGGUUGUGUUAGCUAAAUGGCCAAAAUUAACAAAGAAACCUUUGGUGGCUAUUUUUGCAAAGCAUCCUUCCGGCGUCUCGCUGGGACAUUCGGCUAUUUAGACAAAAUGGCAUCACCCACUUAUUUACGAAAAGAAUUACAACACUUCAUAUAUAUUUUCAAAAUUUUUCAAAAAGCGGGGCUAGACCCGAUGAGGGUUGCCUACGUAUUCCAUGUCCGGUGAGAAUCAAACACGCGUAGUUCGACCAGUUUUGACACGAGGAGGAAAAACAUAAACCAUUUUGAACUAACUCUUUUCUUUCUCAAGAAACCCCUUUUUUCCUUCUUUUUUUUCAAGAAAUCUUUUCUUCUUUUUUUUUUCUUUCAAAAAUUCUACAGAGUUUCGGGAUAUUUUGGGCACUAUUUUUGGAAACAGGUGAAAUCCUCUCUCAUACCUCAAACUUGGUUUUCCUUUGAUUUUCCUACAUAACCCAGAAGCCGGUCAACAUGCAAGCCGAAACAAAUGAAUGCACUUGUAGCACGUAAAAAAUGCAUCAAGUUGGUCUUUUAUUUUCGGGUACACCUGUCCUAGACGGACCCAACCCCUGUGUUGAGUCCCCAAGGUCAAAUGCACAUGAUGCAAACAAACGUUCCUACUAGGGAUCCAGCAUGAGGCUGUGUUAUUCUAAGUUUAAAACUUGGGUGUAUUGUUCUAGACCUGUCUUACCCGAGCGGACAACUCGAACCGGGGGGGGGGGGAGGGGGGGAGGGGCAGCGUACCUCAUUCUAAUUAAGGUGUGACACUAACAUAAAGGAGUCACGCCAACGUGCACUUCUCAGAAAAUUAAAAGAGAGGGGUUUCGUAGCAGUUUAUAUACAGUUUAGAUAAUAUUAAAGCGGUAAAAAGCAAUAUUUAGCACAUUAACCCGAACACAUAAAUAAAAUCAGACAAUAAAUAAAGCCAAAUAUAACAAUUAUUUUAAUCUCGAAUUCUUGAACCCUGAACUAGAGAUUUUGGGUUCGAUCCCCAACAGAGAUGUCAUAGCUGCCACACCUCCUUUUUCUACCUCCCGGAAGGGUAUACGGGCAUUUUUUCCAAUUUAAGUGACAAUCGAAACGGGAUUAUUUAUAUUAAAAUCAGAGUCGCCACUUGAAAUAGUUUAUGGUGUCCCAAGUUACCAGUUUAAAAUUCCGAAUCGAGGAAAGUUUACUCUAUUUAUGGUCUACGAACACAGAAAUCUGGGUAAGGAAUUCUGUUAACCCGAGAGAUGGUGUUAGGCAUUUCCGAGUUUCGUGGUUCUGGCACAGUCGCUCAACUAUUAUUAUUGGCCUAUUUAUCUGAUUUUAAAACAUAUUUGAAACCUCUGUGCAUUUUUAUUCCUUUUAAACCGCUUUUAAUAAUCCAAUUGUCAUACAACUAAUUAUUUGAUUACAUGUUGCGAAUCAUGUUACGAGAACCGUACUCACAAUCCACAAUAUAUUUAUAUAAUUAACAAGAUUAAAUUAUGAUCGGGUCAUAUAAAUGUACCCCAGAUUUAGAAAUUAGGCACCACAACUACGUUACGAGAACCGUACCCGUAGCUAUGAUAAUUUAUUUAAUUAUACGUGUCUAACGCAAACUACGAGAGUUCAAGGCAUUUUCUACACUAGUUAAUAUAUCAAUGUGAGGGCCAUAGACUAAGUGAUUGGAUAGUACACCUUAGUUGUUUUAAAAUCUAUAGGAACACAUUCCACUGCAAGUAAUUCAAUAAUUAAUUCAACCGCUCUUGUCAGUACCAAUUUAUUCCUAAAGCCUCAUUUCAAACAAAUGUCCAAACCACCUUUCAAGAUAUUAGUGCAUGGCCCAAUUAGGAAGUUGUUCAAUUACUAAUUAAGUUUUGAGGCCCUAUUUCUAACAUUAACAAUUAUUCUAACUACAUCAAACAGCGAAGCCGAAAUCGCGUCUUAACAUCAAAGAAAUAUCCCAAAGCAUUCAAAGCAUGCUGGAUAGCUAAAAAUAAAUAAUAAAUAAAAACAAUUAGACUAACACAUAGUCAAAUAUAGCUAGUGACAGUGAACAGAUUAUGAACAUUAAUGGUAUAAAUGUACCACAUAAAUAGAAAAGUAACAACUGCCAUCAAUGUGCCGACCUUUCUUUUUCUUUUGCUUUUUGAUUACGGAGGUCAGACUUGCCUAUGAACUAAUUCAUUGUGUAAGAAAAACAAUAUUGUAGAAAUUAUAGUCUCAUAUUAAUAUAAUAAACAAGAUAGAUUAAAAAUGAAAAAAAAAAAACCUAAGACAAACCACUUUCAGCACUUAAAUAGAUAUAUAAACUUCCUGUAGUACGCAUUCCUCAAGCAACAGAAGGUGAAAUAAACACAGGACAAAAUGCAACAAGAUUUAACUAAAACAGAAAAUGAAUCUAAAAGAUAAUCUAUUUAGUUUAUCAAUGCUGAUUUUCAAACUUUUUAUAUACUCCACUAAAUGAAGCAAGAGCAUAUGUCCCUAAACAACAUUAUCCAAAUAGGAAAAACAUGGAGAUGAGCAAACGAACCAACUAAUUAACACAGGGAAGAUAUUCAAACUUCAGAUUUACAUUUAUCGACUUGAAAAUAGGUAAUUACAAAAUGAAGGAUAUACCUAAAUGUGACCAAAUCAACUAAAUAAACAAGGAUGAAAGUAUGAGACGAGGUGUAAACUCAGCAGAAGAAGUUAAAAUCACAGCUUCAAGAAACCAUUCUUCUUCUAAAUCCCCCAAAAGAAAACUUAAAAGCCAAAGAAGAAACUUAAAAACUGUGAAAUGUUUUUGAGCGAAAUUCUUUUUUGUAGUAUUCUACCGUCUAUCCCUCUCUUUUUAGCUCCAAUGUGUAUUUAUAAUAUACUCUUUAGGGCAACAAACCAGUAUUUCCAAAUUGAAAUUUAGCCCUUAAGAAAUCUAUUUUUCCACCAACUUUUACCUAAGUUUUGUACUAUUUACUCAUUCAAACCCCCAAACCCACCUUCCUAGAACUUUCCUAGGUUGUUAUCAGAUUAUUCCUUGAACCUAAAUGCCCUAAAUACCCCUUGCACCACUGGUAUUUACUUCUCCAAAACAGAAAAAAUUGGGCUGUAGGCCCACCAAACUUGCAACCAACCUCUGAAGCCUUGGGCCAUGGUUUCAUUAAAGAAAGAAAAAGAAAGAAAAAAAUAGAAGAAGGAGAAGAAAUAACUAAACAAGAAAUGGAUAGAAACAAAACAAAAAUAAAAAGAAUUAAAAAAAGAACAUUGGAAAUACACUGCCUAGAAUAAUAUAUAAAAAAACGAAUAAAAAAUAAAGAUAAAAACACAAAAAUUACAUUAAACAAAACAAUGAUGCUAAUCACCAAGAAUACUAACAAAAGAAUAAUUGUAACACCUGAAUCCAGCCUUGCAUGGAUGAACCUAAUGAUUUCUGUGUUGAAGAACAAAUACUCAACCCGCACUUGUUGAGCUAAAAUUUUAAGGGCUAAUGCUUUGGGUCACAAUUUCCAUUAUUUGCCAAAGAAAAAGAAAUGGAGGUGAGUAUCGGCGCUC
rnacentral:lncRNA from 1 species